rnacentral:rRNA from 1 species
AGACGUCUACAUUAGAUACCCGUGUAGUCCUAGCCGUAAACGAUACUCGCUAGGUGUCGGCCACGGUGCGACCGUUGUCGGUGCCGUAGGGAAGCCGUGAAGCGAGCCACCUGGGAAGUACGGCCGCAAGGCUGGAAACUUAAAGGAAUUGGCGGGGGAGCACAACAACGGGUGGAGCUUGCGGUUUAAUUGGAUUCAACGCCGGAAAUCUUACCGGGACCGACAGCAACAUGAAGGCCAAGCUGAAGACUUUGCCGGAUUAGCUG